CCUUCGGGUUGUAAAGUACUUUCAGCAGUGAGGAAGGUGGGUAUGUUAAUAGCAUAUUCAUUUGACGUUAGCUGCAGAAGAAGCACCGGCUAACUCCGUGCCAGCAGCCGCGGUAAUACGGAGGGUGCGAGCGUUAAUCGGAAUUACUGGGCGUAAAGCGCAUGCAGGUGGUUUGUUAAGUCAGAUGUGAAAGCCCGGGGCUCAACCUCGGAAUUGCAUUUGAAACUGGCAAACUAGAGUACUGUAGAGGGGGUAGAAUUUCAGGUGUAGCGGUGAAAUGCGUAGAGAUCUGAAGGAAUACCGGUGGCGAAGGCGGCCCCCUGGACAGAUACUGACACUCAGAUGCGAAAGCGUGGGGAGCAAACAGGAUUAGAUACCCUGGUAG
rnacentral:rRNA from 1 species